UCUAAGGGGCAGUGAGGGCUGACCCCAGUCCCUCCCUAGCCUCAGGCUUUCCUUGAGUUUUUGCCUGCGUGUGAGGCUUAACAGUGCAAAAGCAGCAGGCUUGAAAAGCUGCAAUGGAAUGAGAAAAGAUGGCCUUUGGUGAUUAAUAGCGCAGUCCUCUGCAUGCCUAUGCAGACAUCAGUCCCAUUGAAUUCAAUAGGCCUACUCUGGGGAAUGAUGGAAGAAGGCCUUCAAGCUGUACCUCCAUCCCAGCCUGGAAGGGUAUCAAAAUGGGAUGGACUCAGUAGGAGCAUUUGGAAAUCCUAGCUACGUUGUCUUCAUCUGCCUCUGUUUUAUUUAGAUGACUAAAUAUUACCCCAUUAGCAUACUAUAACCGUUGCUCAUUUUCCUCUCAGGCAUUCUAUAUAUCAUAUAUACCGCAUUACUUAAUUACCGUCUUUCGCACUUACACACCGAUCUGUCCAUUGGCUUUUAGAUCACAUUCUUAAUUGCAAUAAGCAAAGUAGCUUUUUGUUAUGGCACAGGGAAAGGGUUGGUCAGCUGCCCACUGUCGGCAUUAGAGCACACAGAGGGCUGGCCAAUGAUUUCUCUCUCUCCUCUCUCUCUCUCUCUCUCUCUCUCUCUCUCUCUCUCUCUCUCUCCCUCCCUCCUUUAAUGAUCAAUUACCACCAGAAUAGGUUUCUAAUGGCCACACUAUUAGAGAGUAAUAGACUUGGCUAUAAUAGUUCCUGUUCACAGUAUUUCUCAAACUAGACACUGAACAAACCCCACGCCAGCAAAUGUUUGGAAUGUUUGCCUCAUGGCCAGGUAUUUAAAAGGCAAUAUUCUCUCACACACUCGCAGCAGGCCUGGCCCUACCCUUUGGCAGAAUGAAGCAGCUGCCUCAGGCGGCAGAUGCUGGGGGCAGUACCUUCUGAGCUGGGCUUUGACCUCCAGUGCAGUGGAAGAUGUUCUCCCAUCACCAGUCAGUCUGUCAGCCUGGUUGGAUUCUGUGCAUCUCAUCCCCUUGCCUCAGACAGCAAAAUGGCUUGGACGACAAAGACUGCUUGGAGUCUAGAGAAGGAAGUGUCCUGAAAAACAUAUGCAAGGAGAGAGGAAAUGGACUUGGACCUUCCUAUGUAUACACACUUAUAUGUGAACCCAGGGACAGAGGUUGCCUUGCCAGAUGGAGGAACUCACGCUGAAAAGUGAACAAUGCAUAAAAACAUAUCAUCUAAAGCCAUAGGCCGCCACAAU